rnacentral:rRNA from 1 species
UACGGGGGGGGCAAGCGUUGUUCGGAAUUACUGGGCGUAAAGGGCUCGUAGGCGGCCAACUAAGUCGGACGUGAAAUCCCCAGGCUCAACCUGGGAACUGCGUCUGAUACUGGAUGGCUUGAAUCCGGGAGAGGGAUGCAGAAUUCCAGGUGUAGCGGUGAAAUGCGUAGAUAUCUGGAGGAAUACCGGUGGCGAAAGCGGCUCACCGGCCGGAAUCUGACACUGAGGUGCGAAAGCUAGGGUAGCAAACGGG